rnacentral:rRNA from 1 species
CCUACGGGAGGCAGCAGUGGGGAAUAUUGGGCAAUGGGCGCAAGCCUGACCCAGCAACGCCGCGUGAAGGAAGAAGGCUUUCGGGUUGUAAACUUCUUUUGUCAGGGACGAAGCAAGUGACGGUACCUGACGACUAAGCAACGGCUAACUACGGGCCAGAAGCCGCGGUAAGACGUAGGUGGCAAGCGUUAUCAGGAUUUACUUGGUGUAAAGGGCGAGUAGGCGGAACUGCAAGUCAGAUGUGAAAAAGACGGGUUCAAACUGUGGCCUGCAGUUGAAACUGUAGGUCUUGAGUAAUGGAGAGGAAGACAGAAUUCCUGGUGUAGCGGUGAAAUGCGGAGAUAUUAAGAUGAACACCAGUGGCGAAGGCGGUCUGCUGGACAGCAACUGACGCUGAGGCGCGAAAGCGUGGGGAGCAAACAGGAUUAGAUACCCUAGUAGUC